UGGGGCGUCGCCAAGCGGUAAGGCUGCUGGUUUUGGUCCAGCCACUCGGAGGUUCGAAUCCUUCCGCCCCAG
rnacentral:tRNA from 1 species